rfam:Gemmatimonadetes bacterium 13_1_40CM_70_15 13_1_40cm_scaffold_3999, whole genome shotgun sequence.
GCCCGGGUGGCGAAAUGGGUAGACGCACGAGACUUAAAAUCUCGAGGGAGGCAACUCCCGUAGAGGUUCGAAUCCUCUCCCGGGCA